rnacentral:rRNA from 1 species
GACGAACGCUGGCGGCGUGCUUAACACAUGCAAGUCGAACGGAAAGGCCCUGCUUUUGUGGGGUGCUCGAGUGGCGAACGGGUGAGUAACACGUGAGUAACCUGCCCUUGACUUUGGGAUAACUUCAGGAAACUGGGGCUAAUAUCGGAUAGGAGCUCCUGCUGCAUGGUGGGGGUUGGAAAGUUUCGGCGGUUGGGGAUGGACUCGCGGCUUAUCAGCCUGUUGGUGGGGUAGUGGCUUACCAAGGCUUUGACGGGUAGCCGGCCUGAGAGGGUGACCGGCCACAUUGGGACUGCGAUACGGCCCAGACUCCUACGGGAGGCAGCAGUGGGGAAUAUUGCACAAUGGGCGGAAGCCGGAUGCAGCAACGCCGCGUGCGGGAUGACGGCCUUCGGGUUGUAAACCGCUUUCGCCUGUGACGAAGCGUGAGUGACGGUAAUGGGUAAAGAAGCACCGGCUAACUACGUG